GCCCGAUUAGUUAAGUGGUAUAACAGUUGAUUCGUAAUCAUCAAUCGCCAGUUCGAUUCUGGCAUCGGGCA
rnacentral:tRNA from 1 species